UGGAUUUGUAGUUUAUCUCAAAAUUUUAGAAUUAAUUAGAAGUAUAAUCUUAGGAUGUGAAAUGAGUUGGUUAAAUGAAAAUUAUUUUAAAUAUAAAGAAGGAAAGAGGAGAGUUGCAACCAGUAUAGAGGAAUAGCAUAUUUGAUUUACUCAAGCAACUGGAAAAUUUACAAUGAAAUAUGAUUCUUUAAAGUAGUUGUUAAUCAUGAUUCUGAAACUAUUAGUGAAACUUGGGAAUGCAUGAUGUUUUUAAAAAAAUCAGAGGUGUUUUCUUUUCCAAUUUCUAUGUGGGCUUGUUCUUCCAGAGCUUGUGGGGCUGAGGGUUGGGGGUGGGGGAGUUGUUCCUCAAGUGCUAUUCAACUUGAUUGGUGAUUGUUACUCUUUUGGAAGUUGUGAUUUAUAUGGGUUUGUAGUUUGAGUCUUUUACGGUUGAAUAAAUUCUUGUUGAGUUAUUGGUUGUUUACUAUACUGCUGGUGCAACACACUUUUUUGUGAUAUAUAAAUGAAUUUUAAAAUUAUUUGUUGAUAAAUACGUAUAAGUAUUUUGUUUAGUUAUCAUGAUCCAACAUGGACUAGUUUGGGAUUAAGGCUUAUUUGUUGUUGCUGUUGUUGCAAUUAGUUUCUUAUCCCAAAUUUUAUGUAUAUUCUAAACACCAAAAAGUCUAAGUUCUUGAGCUAAAUUUUCCAAUGCCUUUCAAAAACUCUAUUGUACAUGCAAUAAUGCUUUUGAACUUUAGCAGUGUAAUUUUAUAAUGUUAAAAGGUGGAAAUAAAGCGUAAUGAUAUUUGGAGGAAGAAUUGAUAGAAGUGAGAGAGAGAGAGAGAGA
rnacentral:misc_RNA from 1 species